rnacentral:lncRNA from 1 species
AGGACGUGGAUCAUGCAUGCGUGAGCUUCUUCCAUGAUGCUCGGCAUGGCUGGAAAAUAGGGAAUUCGGAUAAUGGUGCUGGACGUUGGGAGAUUCAGCUGGGAGGGGAUUUUUUGGAAUUGAGAAGGGAUGAGGAUGCUGGGAAGAUAUGCGGAGGAGAAGAUAUGGCUUAUUCAUGGACGUGAAAGGAAUCCGAAGGAAGUUUCCUGGGAGAUGGUUGGUUUGGUGGAACCGUGGAGCUCGGGAUGAAGCUCGGGAUGGUUCUAUUCCGCUGGAAAUAGGGGAGCUGGAAGCUGCUGAUAGCAUUGGGAAUUCUGUUCCAAAGCAGGGGAUGAAGGUUGGAUGGAUCCGUGAGGCUCGGGAGGAUGAAGCUACGGACGUGGAGGAGAUGAUGUUGUUUUGUUGCUGGGAGAAAAUCCGGAAACGAGGAAGAUUUGGGAUGCUCACGGGAUGAAGAUGAAUCGCGGAUCACCCGGUCA